CAGCAUCUCUGAAGAAAUUUUAACAGAGCUUUAAACCUUGAUCUUACUUCCUUAACCUAUUUGUAUUUCCCAGUGAUGGAAAAUAGUCAAAACAAACAACUAUCCAAGCACCGCCUCCAAAAACCAUGAUAACAAAAAACGGAAACAAACUGAAACCCUUUGACCGAAAAGGCAAAAGGCAAAGCAGAACAAAACAAAACCGAGAUGCUUAUCUAUAUGGUGCAGUCUACCUAAAUUCAAAAUCUGUUUCUUUUGUGGCUCAUACGGAUUCUUUGUUGAAGUACUUUCAGUGCAAAGCUGAACCAAACGAAAGUGGAGUAAAUGCUCACGACCAUGAUUUCCCAUGAAAUUACUGCUGGCUUCAAAGUUUUUACCACCUCACCUUUCUGGAGAACUUGAGUUCUAAUAGUGUCACAUCGCAGGACCUCUCGUGCCGUUUCUGGAAUCUGAAAUUGACCUGGACAUCUGAGUUCAUGAAAACAAAAGGAAGGCAAAUCUCCUUAUUGACCAAAAAUUACACUAACAAUUCAACAGACGAACUUCAACAGAUGAUGAGCAAAGUUGCUAAUUAAUAAACUGUGGAGUUUAAAAAAUAGAGGGGACUAUAAAUUAAAAAUUGAGCUACAUUCCUGACUUUGUACAUGACCAUGAGAAUGUCAACUCUCAACUAUCCUCAGACUUUCAUCUAAACAAGAAGAAACACGUGAACUACAACGGUAAAUAUGAGGAACAAAGACUGAUGGAAGAGGAAGCAAAAAGACAAUGGAGGAAAUAUUUUAGGAAAUUAUGGUAUAAAAAGCAGAAAAGAGGAGAGGUAGAAAGGAAUUAUUCAAGAAAAUAUAAAAGGGAAAGAGUCAGUAUUAGACAUUCAGAUUCAACAGAUAUUUUUGAACCUCUGUGGGCUUGCCUGUGUGCUGGGCUCUGAACAAAAUGAAAAAGGCCUCUGCUUCCAAGGAACUUAUAUUGUAGUUGUUGUGUAUCAGUUAAUAGGUGGUCUGUAUGAAAAAAAUGUGUGAAAAGAUUUUAAAAGUCAUAUUGUUUUUCUUUAACCCAAAAUAAAACUGAACUUAACCCAGUGUUGGUUAAAUUCUA